rnacentral:sRNA from 1 species
GGUGGAGCUAAUCUCCCAAGACAAGACAAUGUCUUCCCAGACCGGGACCACUUUGGACGCAUUUUUUAUAACCAGGCUAAUAUGUCUGCGAAAGGAAUUCCUCAGGUAGCUGUGGUGCUGGGCAGCUGUACAGCCGGGGGUGCUUACACUCCAGCUAUGGCAGAUGAAAGUAUCAUUGUCAAAAAGCAGGGGACUAUAUUUUUAGGAGGCCCACCGUUGGUCAAGGCAGCUACUGGUGAAGAAGUUUCAGCAGAAGACCUAGGUGGGGCUGACUUGCAUUGUAGGUAAGAAACAUUCUGCUCAAUAUUUUCACCACAAUUUUGGAAAUCAUCUUUACAGAGU